AGGUGAACCUGCGGAAGGAUCAUUAGAAAAGUAUGCGCCCACACGGGCAACCUGCGGGCAAGUUGGUAAAACGAGAGGAGGUGUUCGUUUUUUUUUUUUACCCCCAAUGCACUUAUUGAAAAGACCCAAGUCGAAAAAAGAAAAUGGUGAUGGAAUAUUGGUCAAGGCCUUUGUUCAGCAUGCCGAUAUGUGGGUGUUGCAGGAUAAAAACUUCUGCUUACCUGGAAUCAAAUUUUUGGUGGAUAAUCUUUUGGUUGUUCCCUUAAUUAUGGGCUGUGCAAAAAGAGCUUUUUUUUUUUGCUGGCCUUAAAUUUAAAAUUCUUUUUCGACGCCGUAAUAACCUUUGCCUAAAUGUUUGUCUGACCUUUUACUUAUAACGAGUAAAAAAAUUAAUACAACUUUCAACAACGGAUCUCUUGGCUCUCG
rnacentral:misc_RNA from 1 species